CCACUCCCCCUCCACUUUGUGUCAUGCCAUCAGAGACCCCAGGUCUAGCCCACCAGCCUUGGGCAGGGCAGUGUAGUGGGAGGCUGGGACAUUCUGGGGCCCCAGGUCUCCUCAUUCCUAGCUGUGAUGUGGGCCUCGGUGUCCUUACCUGUGUGCUGGGGAUGCCAAGUGUACCUCCCUCAUGGGUGGCUCCAAGUUCAGGCACCCAGAGGGCAUACCUCCCCCAGGGUGGGCUCAUAGUGGGGGCUCAGUGAUGGGAGGUGGCUCUCAUUAAUGUCCUCUCAGGAUGUCCUGCAGGGGAGGUGUUGAUGUGGGGUCCUUGGCAGUGCUAUGGGGUCCUUGGUGGUGUCAUGGAGUCCUCGGUGGUGCCAUGGGGGUCCUCGGUGGUGCCAUGGAGGUCCUCAGUGGUGCAGUGGGGUCCUCGGUGGUGACAUGGGGUCCUCGGUGGUGACAUGGGGUCCUUGGUGGUGACAUGGGAUCCUCAGUGGUGACAUGGGGUCCUCGCUGCCACACGCCAGCCUCAGUUUCUCUGUGAAGCUGGGGCGCAGUAGUGCCCUCCUUGCUGGAGAGCUGUUGGGGGGUGCUGGGCGUGGCGCCCCUCACCUGCCCUGCCCUGCCCUGCCCUGCUGCCCCUCUGCAG